rnacentral:rRNA from 1 species
AUUGAACGCUGGCGGCGUGCUUAACACAUGCAAGUCGAUCGGUAACGCGGGGGCAACCCUGGCGACGAGAGGCGGACGGGUGAGGAACGCUUGGGAAUCUGCCUAUCAGCGGGGGACAACACGGGGAAACUCGUGCUAAUACCGCAUACGCUCUACGGAGGAAAGCCGGGGACCGCAAGGCCUGGCACUGAUAGAUGAGCCCAAGCCGGAUUAGCUAGUUGGCGGGGUAACGGCCCACCAAGGCGACGAUCCGUAGCUGGUCUGAGAGGACGAUCAGCCACACUGGAACUGAGACACGGUCCAGACUCCUACGGGAGGCAGCAGUGGGGAAUAUUGGACAAUGGGGGAAACCCUGAUCCAGCGACGCCGCGUGGGUGAAGAAGGCCUGCGGGUUGUAAAGCCCUUUCGGUAGGGACGAAAACUCUCGACCUAACACGUCGGGAGGUUGACUUAACCUACAGAAGAAGCACCGGCUAACUCUGUGCCAGCCGCCGCGGUAAAAC